UUUUCGACCGGAGGAUUAUGAGUCAAGUGAUGUGAGGGAGUGCAGUAUGGGAUAUAGAAGCCAGGACCGUAUGAGGCUGAUAGCUAGUGCGGUUCCGUCAAUACACACAGCUCCGGCAGCAGCAGCCGCCGGAAGCGGCGGGAGUGAGAGCGCGGGAGCGUCGGUCAGAGAUUCAGCAAAACGAAACGUGAACUGUGCACCACUUUGGGAGACAACAGUACUGCAGAUUCACCUACAGCCAGUGAUGCUGGGCUUAUAGACCCAGAGCAAGAGGUCAUCUCUCCACUGGUUCCUCAGCAAACAUCUGUGCUUCACUGCGGCUCACAGUGUAACCUCAGACCUUUCCAUCGUUCAUCAGCUGUCCAGGUACAGCCCAGGAUGGUCAGUGUGGGGUGUCAGACAGAAUCUCCACUGCCCAGUCCUGCACACAGUGAUGAUGAGUCAUCUUCUGUAACCAUGGACCACCUUGGGGAUAUGCCAUGGAGCCCAGAGGAGGAAAUGAUGAGCGAGUCGUCUGACGAGGAACCAUCAA